rnacentral:rRNA from 1 species
UACGUAGGCAGCAAGCGUUGUUCGGAAUUACUGGGCGUAAAGAAUGUGUAGGCGGUGCUCCAAGUCUGGUGUGAAAUCUCCCGGCUCAACCGGGAGGGUGCGCCGAAUACUGAGGGACUCGAGUGCGGGAGAGGAAAGUGGAAUUCCUGGUGUAGCGGUGAAAUGCGUAGAUAUCAGGAGGAACACCGGUGGUGUAGACGGCUUUCUGGACCGUAACUGACGCUGAGACACGAAAGCGUGGGUAGCAAACAGG